CGCGGGAUUGACGGGGUGCAGCAGGCGCGAAAACUUUACAAUGCCGGCAACGGCGAUAAGGGGACCUCGAGUGCCAGGUUACAAAUCUGGCUGUCGCGAUGCCUAAAAAGCAUUGCAUAGCAAGGGCCGGGCAAGACCGGUGCCAGCCGCCGCGGUAACACCGGCGGCUCGAGUGGUAACCGUUAUUAUUGGGUCUAAAGGGUCUGUAGCCGGCCGGGUAAGUCUCUUGGGAAAUCCAGCAGCUUAACUGUUGGGCUUUCAGGAGAUACUGCCUGGCUCGAGGCCGGGAGAGGUGAGAGGUACUUCAGGGGUAGGGGUGAAAUCUUGUAAUCCUUGAAGGACCACCAGUGGCGAAGGCGUCUCACCAGAACGGACCUGACGGCAAGGGACGAAAGCUAGGGGCACGAACCGGAUUAGAUACCCGGGUAGUCCUAGCCGUAAACGAUACUCGCUAGGUGUCGGCCACGGUGCGACCGUGGUCGGUGCCGUAGGGAAGCCGUGAAGCGAGCCACCUGGGAAGUACGGCCGCAAGGCUGAAACUUAAAGGAAUUGGCGGGGGAGCACCACAACGGGUGGAGCUUGCGGUUUAAUUGGAUUCAACGCCGGAAAUCUUACCGGGACCGACAGCAAUAUGAAGGCCAGGCUGAAGACUUUGCCGGAUUAGCUGAGAGGUGGUGCAUGGCCGUCGUCAGUUCGUACUGUGAAGCAUCCUGUUAAGUCAGGCAACGAGCGAGACCCACGCCCACAGUUGCCAGCGUACUCUCCGGAGUGACGGGUACACUGUGGGGACCGCCGCUGCUAAAGCGGAGGAAGGAAUGGGCAACGGUAGGUCAGUAUGCCCCGAAUAUCCCGGGCUACACGCGAGCUACAAUGGUUGGUACAAUGGGUAUCUACCCCGAAAGGGGAUGGAAAUCUCCUAAAGCCAAUCUUAGUUCGGAUUGAGGGCUGCAACUCGCCCUCAUGAAGCUGGAAUCCGUAGUAAUCGCGUUUCAACAGAACGCGGUGAAUACGUCCCUGCUCCUUGCACGAAUUCGCUUAAUCACUAGU
rnacentral:rRNA from 1 species